ensembl:lncRNA
AUGAGGCCUCUGGAGAUUGGCUUGACUUUCUUGUGGCUCACUCCAAUGGACAGAUUAUCACAACUGCCCAGCCCCAGCCCUGAUGUCUCUGGAAUUUGGCUUGACUUUCCCAUGCCUCCCCCAUCCAGAUUGGCUGCAAGUCUAAUGAAGACCCAAAUGGUAUUGGAUAGGAUAUGUAAGGACCUUCUUCUGGUGGGAGAGACAGAUCCCAGAGGAUCCAGGUACCUGGAGAAGACUGUCCGAACCACUGAGCCAUGGUUUCUUCAUUUUUUGAGGGGUCCCAGAUCCCUUUGCUAUGCUGGCUGAUUAAUGAUAACAGUAACAAGAAGCAUUUCUAUAGCACUUUCAGUGUUAUAAAAGCAUUUUACAAAAAUGUUAUUGCAUUUAUCCUAAAAAUAAUUGAUUGGUAGGUACUUUUUAUUAUCUCCAUUUUACAGAUGAGGAAAGUGAGGCUGAGAGAAUUCAAUGCGUUGAUCAGUGUAGUACUGCUGGACACCAUUUGAAGUAAGAUUCAGACUCCAUCCAAGAAGCAAGUCUUCCUGAUUCCAAGUCCUCUUCCUCCUUCCUCCAAGUCCUGAUUCCUGUCUCUCUACUGGUCACCCCAGGUGGUGAAACUCACAGUCACACAGCUAGAGAGGGAACAGAUGCAGAAAAGAAAACUGUAGAGAUGACAAAGGAAACCAAUUAGAUGCAAAUAGUUAUCAAAAUAGUUAUUAAAAACAAAAAUUCACAAAGUUGAGGUUAAGGAGCCCCAAUCAAGACUCUGAUGUUUGAACAGAAACUGGUGGUUUAGAGGCAACAUGGCCAACUGCAAAGUCAUGAGGGACCUGGCUUUGACUCCUAAUCCCAAAUAUUUACUAGCUGUGUGACCAGGGUGCAAUCUCUUGAUUAUUCAGCCUUAGUUCCCUUAUCUGUAGAAUGAGCAUAUAGUGACUGCAAUACCUACCUCACUGAGCUGAUGUAAGGGUCAAAUGAGAAAGAAAGAACCCUGGGAAGCUUUGUACUGUCAUUAGGAUUUUAGAAGAGAGAGAAGGCAGAUCAAUUCAGCCUUUACUCCCCCUCCAAUUCACAGCCCUGUCAGGUAACAAGGUCUGUGGCUCUUUCUCCCAUCCCACCUUAUGCAAUCACAUUCCACCCAACUUGUGCGAACUCUUUGAGAGGCUUGUCUGCACGCCCCUCUCCUUCUCCCAUCACUCUCCUCUUUCUGGUUGGCGGCUUGUUGUGAUACUUGGCUUUUCAUUCAUUUCUUCCUCCCUCCCGCCCCUAUUCUCAGGCUUCUGGAACUUGGCCGUGCUUUGCCCCUUGGAUUUUGUAAUGAGAGCUGCUGAUGAGAGCCAAGCAUGUUGUAACCACCGGGUCAUGCCCAUGUGCAGGGCUCUGCCCCGACCUGACCGCAUGAGUGAUCUGGGGGCCGGGGCGUAAGGCUUUUAUUGCCUAUAUCUGGGUGUGUCCCUCUCCUCUGCCUGUACUUGCUCCAGGGGAAAUGGGCUUGCUCCAACAUCAGGGUAACCCUGCUGUAACUGCUUUAUUCAGUGGGCGCACCAAUGAGAAGGAGAAUGGGGGAGGUAGGAAGCCAGCCAGAAGGACAAAGCCCCUCCACACCUAGAUUCCAUUUGGAAAGAAGAGAUGCUAGUGGAAGUUAGCCAAGGGCCAAGCAUGAACCAGAAACUACACUUGGAUUUCAUAGGGAUCCAAACUCAUCUCUAGAGUGAUGAAGUCUCCAGCAGAUAGUCAGUGGUCACUUGGCAAUUUGGCAUCCAUAUUUAUGCUUUACUUUCUCACAUGAUUUAUGGAGUGCUGGUCUUGGAGGCAGAAAGACCUGAGUUUGAAUCCUGUCUCAAACAUUUAUUUUACUAGCUCUGUGACACUGGGCAGAUCACUUAACCUUCCCAGCCUCAGUUUCCUCAUCUAAAAAUGAGAAUAAUAAUAGCAUAAUUCCUUCCCAGAGCAAAUAUGGGCUGACAUAGGCAAAGUGCUUUCCCAACCUUAAAGCACAAUAGAAAUGAGAACAAUGAUUACAGCUGUUUUCUUUUCAGUGGAUGAGGGGUAAUGUAAUGGAAAUGGUAGCUUGGACUAUGGUGUAAUAGAAAGCAGUGGCCCUCUGGUCAAAGAUCCUGCAUUCAAGUCUUACUUCUAACACUGAAUCCCUCCAGAGAACUAAGUGACACAAUGGAUGGGGCUGUGGACUUGUAGUCUGGAAGACCUGAGCUCACAUUCUGUCUCAAAUUCUUCCUAGUUGUGUGACCCUAGGUCAAUGAUGGUGAACCAUUUAGAGACAGAGUGCUGGGUCCCUCCCCACAUAAUUCCCCCCCCAACCAAGUGCCAUGCCUACCCCCCAUAAAGAUUGAGUGCUGGGUGUGCCCUGUCCCUCCCCUUAAAGGGGAGGCAAAAAGCAUUUUCAUUGGGCUGCUGGUUGGAGGAGGGGUGGGUGAAGUGAGGACUGUCCUCAGCAAGUGUAGAGAGGAGGAAGGCAAUGGCCUGAGUGUUCUGUUUCCCUCUAACUCCACCCCCUGUGAACCACUUUAUCCCCUGUGUACUCCCAUUGAACUGCUGGGCAGAGGAGUGGGUGAUAUAAAAAAUGUCAUCAGGUGAGGUGGAGAGGGGGAAUGGAGCAGCUCAGCCUGAGUCCCUCUGCCCUUCUAGUAAUUACCUCAGGAGGAGGGGGGCCAGUGCCCAUGUCCACAGAGAGCACUCUGUAUGCCAUCUUUGGCAUUGCAUCCCAUAGGUUCUCUGUCACUGCCUUAGGCAAUUAGUUAACUUCUCUAAUCUCACUUUCCUCAUCUGUAAAAUGGGGAUUAAAAUAGUUGUGAGGAUCAACUGAAAUAAAUAUCAAGAGCUUUAUAAAAUUUAAAACCUU